rnacentral:rRNA from 1 species
CGAUGAUCUCACUAGUGAUUUCCGUUUGAUCCUGGCAGAGGCUACUGCUAUUGGGAUUCGAUUAAGCCAUGCAAGUUGAAUGAAUUUAGAUUCAUGGCGUACGGCUCAGUAACACGUGGAUAACUUACCCUUAGGACUGGGAUAACUCUGGGAAACUGGGGAUAAUACCGGAUAUUAGGCUAUGUCUGCAAUGGUUUGCCUUUGAAAUGUUUUUUUUCGCCUAAGGAUAGAUCUGCGGCUGAUUAGGUCGUUGGUGGGGUAAUGGCCCACCAAGCCGAUGAUCGGUACGGGUUGUGAGAGCAAGGGCCCGGAGAUGGAACCUGAGACAAGGUUCCAGACCCUACGGGGUGCAGCAGGCGCGAAACCUCCGCAAUGUACGAAAGUGCGACGGGGGGAUCCCAAGUGUUAUGCUUAAAGGUAUGACUUUUCAUUAGUGUAAAAAGCUUUUAGAAUAAGAGCUGGGCAAGACCGGUGCCAGCCGCCGCGGUAACACCGGCAGCUCGAGUGGUAGCUGUUUUUAUUGGGCCUAAAGCGUUCGUAGCCGGUUUAAUAAGUCUUUGGUGAAAGCUUGUAGCUUAACUAUAAGAAUUGCUGGAGAUACUAUUAGACUUGAAGUCGGGAGAGGUUAGAGGUACUACCGGGGUA